UUUUGAUCAAUUUUACUUCAUCUUAUAUCAGCCUAGCUCCCCAUUCUUUGACUCAUCAGAAUCUUUUGGCUGGAGGCCUGCUCAGAUUUAAGCGCAUUUUACAAUGGCAUGGAUGGGGGCAGUCUUACUUAAACAAGAAAAAUAAUAAUAAAGCCUUCAGUUACUUGCUCAUUGGGUUGCCAUCCUGUUGAGCAUAAAUUAAAGACCUCUUAGUACAGAAAAA